rnacentral:lncRNA from 1 species
CUGGCGUGGUGUGAUCCGUCGGCCGGCAGGGGACGGCAGUGUGGUGAUGAGGGAAGGGGCAGUGAGGCGGCGCGCAGAGGUGAGCGGGGCGGGGGCUCUGCCCCUAGCUGGCGGGGUCCGGAGCUAAUACAGGGUCUGCGUCGGACGUGCAGCAGCUGUGCUAGGCCAUCGAGGAGUGCAAGCAGGCAAUCCUGGUAUUGCCCAAGCAUUCAGAGCGGCAGAAGGACUUGGUGAUGCGGCUCAUCCUCAAGCUGCAGGAGCUGAAGGAUCCUGGUGAGGAUGAGCCCAACAUCCGGGUGGUGCUAGAGCAUUGCUUCUACAAGGAAAAGAGCAAGACUGUGAAGCCGAUGCAGCAUCAUCAUCUGGGGCCUCAUCCAGACCUGGUACACCUGCACAGGCUGCUACUACCAGGGCCACAGCAAGUGCCCGC